UGGGGAAUAUUGCACAAUGGGCGAAAGCCUGAUGCAGCGACGCCGCGUGAGGGAUGACGGCCUUCGGGUUGUAAACCUCUUUCAGCAGGGACGAAGCGCAAGUGACGGUACCUGCAGAAGAAGCACCGGCUAACUACGUGCCAGCAGCCGCGGUAAUACGUAGGGUGCAAGCGUUGUCCGGAAUUACUGGGCGUAAAGAGUUCGUAGGCGGUUUGUCGCGUCGUUUGUGAAAACCAGCAGCUCAACUGCUGGCUUGCAGGCGAUACGGGCAGACUUGAGUACUGCAGGGGAGACUGGAAUUCCUGGUGUAGCGGUGAAAUGCGCAGAUAUCAGGGGGAAAACCGGUGGCGGAGGCGGGUCUCUGGGCAGUAACUGACGCUGAGGAACGAAAGCGUGGGUAGCGAACAGG
rnacentral:rRNA from 1 species